CCUACGGGGGGCUGCAGUGGGGAAUAUUGGGCAAUGGGCGCAAGCCUGACCCAGCAACGCCGCGUGAAGGAAGAAGGCUUUCGGGUUGUAAACUUCUUUUGUCAGGGACGAAGCAAGUGACGGUACCUGACGAAUAAGCCACGGCUAACUACGUGCCAGCAGCCGCGGUAAUACGUAGGUGGCAAGCGUUAUCCGGAUUUACUGGGUGUAAAGGGCGUGUAGGCGGGGAAGCAAGUCAGAUGUGAAAACCACGGGCUCAACCUGUGGCCUGCAUUUGAAACUGUUUUUCUUGAGUGCUGGAGAGGCAAUCGGAAUUCCGUGUGUAGCGGUGAAAUGCGUAGAUAUACGGAGGAACACCAGUGGCGAAGGCGGAUUGCUGGACAGUAACUGACGCUGAGGC
rnacentral:rRNA from 1 species